rnacentral:rRNA from 1 species
UACGAAGGGAGCUAGCGUUGUUCGGAAUCACUGGGCGUAAAGCGCACGUAGGCGGAUUUGUCAGUCAGGGGUGAAAUCCCGGGGCUCAACCUCGGAACUGCCUUUGAUACAGCAAGUCUUGAGUUCGAGAGAGGUGGGUGGAAUUCCUAGUGUAGAGGUGAAAUUCGUAGAUAUUGGAAAGAACACCGAUGGCGAAGGCACUCUACUGGGCUAUUACUGACACUCAGAGACGAAAGCUAGGGGAGCAAAUGGG